rnacentral:lncRNA from 1 species
UGAGAAUGAGAGAGUGUAAAUCGAUUUUUAGGUGCAUUAAGAGCUUCAAAUUGGUGGUUUUUGGUGGUUGGUGUAUUGAUGGCAAUGACAAUAUUGUGAAUACUUGAGGAAGAUGAGGGUAAUAGAGUAAAAUAUGCAUUUUCGAAAAAAAAAAGAAAAAAAAAGUGAUGGCAUUUUUGUAAAUAAUUUGAACUUUGAGG